AGCGAACGCUGGCGGCAGGCUUAACACAUGCAAGUCCAACGGGCAUAGCAAUAUGUCAGUGGCAGACGGGUGAGUAACGCGUGGGAACGUACCUUUUGGUUCGGAACAACACAGGGAAACUUGUGCUAAUACCGGAUAAGCCCUUACGGGGAAAGAUUUAUCGCCGAAAGAUCGGCCCGCGUCUGAUUAGCUAGUUGGUAGGGUAAUGGCCUACCAAGGCGACGAUCAGUAGCUGGUCUGAGAGGAUGAUCAGCCACAUUGGGACUGAGACACGGCCCAAACUCCUACGGGAAGCAGCAGUGGGGAAUAUUGGACAAUGGGCGAAAGCCUGAUCCAGCCAUGCCGCGUGAGUGAUGAAGGCCCUAGGGUUGUAAAGCUCUUUUGUGCGGGAAGAUAAUGACGGUACCGCAAGAAUAAGCCCCGGCUAACUUCGUG
rnacentral:rRNA from 1 species